rnacentral:rRNA from 1 species
AGGACGAACGCUGGCGGCGUGCUUAACACAUGCAAGUCGAGCGGUAAGGCCUUUCGGGGUACACGAGCGGCGAACGGGUGAGUAACACGUGGGUGAUCUGCCCUGCACUCUGGGAUAAGCCUGGGAAACUGGGUCUAAUACCGGAUAUGACCUGCUCUCGCAUGGGGGAGGGUGGAAAGAUUUAUCGGUGCAGGAUGGGCCCGCGGCCUAUCAGCUUGUUGGUGGGGUAAUGGCCUACCAAGGCGACGACGGGUA